rnacentral:rRNA from 1 species
GAUGAACGCUGGCGGCGUGCUUAACACAUGCAAGUCGAACGAAGCACUUUAUUUGAUUUCCUUCGGGACUGAUUAUUUUGUGACUGAGUGGCGGACGGGUGAGUAACGCGUGGGUAACCUGCCUUGUACAGGGGGAUAACAGUUGGAAACGGCUGCUAAUACCGCAUAAGCGCACAGCAUCGCAUGAUGCAGUGUGAAAAACUCCGGUGGUAUAAGAUGGACCCGCGUUGGAUUAGCUAGUUGGUGAGGUAACGGCCCACCAAGGCGACGAUCCAUAGCCGACCUGAGAGGGUGACCGGCCACAUUGGGACUGAGACACGGCCCAAACUCCUACGGGAGGCAGCAGUGGGGAAUAUUGCACAAUGGGCGAAAGCCUGAAGCAGCGACGCCGCGUGAGCGAAGAAGUAUUUCGGUAUGUAAAGCUCUAUCAGCAGGGAAGAUAAUGACGGUACCUGACUAAGAAGCACCGGCUAAAUACGUG